rnacentral:rRNA from 1 species
AAUGAACGUUGGCGGCGUGGAUUAGGCAUGCAAGUCGAGCGAGAAACUUUUUUUCGGAAAAGUGGACAGCGGCGAAAGGGAGAGUAACGCGUAGAAACGUACCCCGAGGCUCGGAAUAGCAGAGAGAAAUUUCUGGUAAUGCCGAAUAAUGUCUUCGGACCAAAGAUUUAUCACCUUGGGAGCGGUCUGCGUUCUAUUAGCUAGUUGGUGGGGUAAUGGCUCACCAAGGCGAAGAUGGAUACCGGGCGUGAGAGCGUGACCCGGCUCACUGGGACUGAGACACUGCCCAGACACCUACGGGUGGCUGCAGUCGAGAAUCUUCCGCAAUGGACGAAAGUCUGACGGAGCGACGCCGCGUGCUGGAUGAAGGCCUUCGGGUUGUAAACAGCUGUUGUAGGUUAGGAAAUUUUGACCGAUCCUAUGAGGAAGCACAGGCUAAGUUCGUGCCAGCAGCCGCAGUAACAC